rnacentral:rRNA from 1 species
UACGAGGGGGGCGAGCGUUGUUCGGAAUUAUUGGGCGUAAAGGGUGCGUAGGCGGUUCCGCAAGUCCUGUGUGAAAUCUUCGGGCUCAACUCGAAGUCUGCACGGGAAACUGCGGGGCUUGAGUGUGGGAGAGGUGAGCGGAAUUCCCGGUGUAGCGGUGAAAUGCGUAGAUAUCAGGAGGAACACCUGCGGUGUAGACGGCUUUCUGGACCAUUGUUGACGCUGAGACACGAAAGCGUGGGUAGCAAACAGG